GUGAUCAAGUGAUCCAAAAGAGGAAGUUCAGCAUUGGGCAGUUCAAGCAAUUUGCCUCGGAACAAACAGAAUCUGAACUCAGACUCCAGAAGACAAGCUCUUCACCAUGAAACAAUGCUGCUAUGAAUCACUGCACAGAUCUACUCCAGGAAACAGAAGCACUUUCAGGAAAAACUCACAUGUGUUGGUUGCUGGCUCACACUGCAGUGAUAAUGUUUGAAGACUCUCCUCAUCCAUUUCGAGCUCCAAAUUGGACAGGUACUGCUUCACUUUUCGA